GACCGCCACCUGCUGGAUGGUGAGUGCAGAGGGGCAUGUAAUUGUUGAGCUGGACAAAGAGAACACCUUUGCUGAUGCGAUGUCUUCUUUGGUUCAUUCUAUGUAUUGAACCUGGAAUACCAGGAGUCAGCGUGUGCAACAUUGGAACUGAUUCAGAGGUUUUUUGUAAGGAUAAACCAUGAAGAGGGAACAAAAUGUACCUCCAAGGUUGGGACAAGCAGAAAGACUGGGACCACUGUGAAGAAAAAGGUUGUUCACAUUAACCCUCAUGUCACAACUUUCCUCCAGCGGCUUACUGAAUUUGAGUGGAAAACUUCAAAUUAGAUGAUCCAUGGCCCAUGCUUUCUGGACAUUUACACAAGACGAACAACAAUGAAGACAAGCUCUCUCACCAUCUUACAAGAAGCUGUCUCUGUCCAAUAGGUUUUUUGAGUGCAACAGUUUUGAUUUUUUUUCCUUCUCUUACCCGAAAUUAUUUCAGCUAC